rnacentral:rRNA from 1 species
AUUGAACGCUGGCGGCAGGCCUAACACAUGCAAGUCGAACGAGUGGCGGACGGGUGAGUAAUGUCUGGGAAACUGCCCGAUGGAGGGGGAUAACUACUGGAAACGGUAGCUAAUACCGCAUACCAUCUGAUGGUCCCAGAUGGGUUUAUCUAGUGGGUGGGGUAACGGCUCACCUAGUCGACGAUCCCUCGCUGGUCUGAGAGGAUGACCAGCCACACUGGAACUGGGCCACGGUCCAGACUCCUCCGGGAGGCAGCAGUGGGGAAUAUUGCACAAUGGGGGCAAGCCGGCUGCGCCAAUGCCGCGUGGUUGAAGAAGGCCUUCGGGUUGUAAAGUACUUUCAGCGAGGAGGCGUUACUCGCAGAGGAAGCACCGGCUAACUCCGUGCCAGCAGCCGCGGUAAUUC